UUGAAGUUAUAAGGAGAUAGUUAUGGUUGUUUGAAAUUAAGGUGUGAUUUUGGAUACCUAUUGCUACUCUUUUGAGCAUAUAGAGAGUUGUAGGAAAGCUUUGAAGAAUCAAAAAAUGAAGUUUGAAACCUAACUUAAAGAGCUAAAUUUUAUGUAAAAACAUCAAUAUAUUUUAGUCUAAAAAAAAGGAGAGAGAUAUUGGAAGUUAAUAUUCAAAACUAGGAUUUGUAAGUGAGUUGUUUUUAAU
rnacentral:lncRNA from 1 species